GAGGAAUGUAUAGCAAUAGCUACUUGCAUCAUCUCAAUGAUGAUGCAAGAUCGACUAUGUCGAAUAAAAUUCUAGGUAGAAUUAUGAUAAUGACAUUGUCUGCCUAUGUGUCUUGACCAAAUUACGUGCCAGCAGUCGCGGUAAUACGUAGAAGACUAGUGUUAUUCAUGUUUAAUCGGUUUAAAGGGUACCUAGACGGCAGAUCAAGCUUUCGAUGAAAUAAAAUUAAAGGAAAAGGACUAAUUUGCUAGAGUUACUUAUGAGGGGGUAUUAAAGUACUGCUGGUGUAGAGAUGAAAUUCUGUCAUACCUCUCUUCAAAAGAAGAAUGAUGGCACAGGUAUAGGCGAAGGCAUCCCCUUAUGUGAUAACUGACGUUGAGGGACGAAGGCUUUGUGUAGCGAACAGGAUUAGAUACCCCAGUAGUCGAAGCAGAAAAUGAUGAAUGUCAUAGAUUAGAUAUAAGUUUAUUCUAUAAAUGAAAGUGUAAGCAUUCCACCUCAAGAGUAAUUUGGCAACAUUGGAACUGAAAUCAUUAGACCGUUUCUGAAACCAGUAGUGAAGUAUGUUGUUUAAUUUGAUGAUCCGCAAAAAACCUUACCACAAUUUGAAUAUUUAUAUUUUUUUUUAUUGUUUCCUUAUUAAUUUUCUUCUAAUAACAACCCAGACCUGCAAACGAUGCAAAAAAUUGUAUAAAUUAAGAGCCCGAAUGGUUCGCCCGUAUGGUACCCCCUAAUGGUACCAAAUACGUUAUUGGUACGGGCGAAUGGCACGCCUGAAUGGUACGCCCGAAUGAUACUAAUAAUUAAGGAUUAGAAGCAAUCUAAUUAAGAAGCAAUAAGAUAUAUUUACAAGCGUUGCACGGCUGUCUUCAGUUAAUGUCGCGAGACUUUGGUUAGUUCCAUUAAAUUAACGUAAACCCUUACUUUAUUUUUUAUAUAGAGUAGUUCCCCGCUAUAUUGGAUAUGAU
rnacentral:rRNA from 1 species